AACGAACGCUGGCGGCAUGCCUAACACAUGCAAGUCGAACGAUACCUUCGGGUCUAGUGGCGCACGGGUGCGUAACGCGUUGGAACCUGCCCUUCGUUUCGUCAUAACUCCCCGAAAGGGGUGCUAAUACCGGUUAAUGUCUUCGGACCAAAGAUUUAUCGCCUUUGGAUGGGCCCGCGUUGGAUUAGCUAGUUGGUAGGGUAAACGCCUACCAAGGCGACGAUCCAUAGCUGGUCUGAGAGGAUGAUCAGCCACACUGGGACUGAGACACGGCCCAGACUCCGACGGGAGGCAGAAGUGGGGAAUAUUGGACAAUGGGAGAAAGCCUGAUCCAGCAAUGCCGCGUGAGUGAUGAAGGCCUUAGGGUUGUAAAGAUCUUUUACCAGGGAUGAUAAUGACAGUACCGGGAGAAUAAGCUCCGGCUAACUCCGUG
rnacentral:rRNA from 1 species